ACCGGAGCUGAAGGGCCGCAGGAGAUUCACUGAUGACUAUGGAGGCUUCUUUCAGAGCCCUGGAUGCGUUCAUUUCUCCCUCGGCUGCAAUGACCUGUGGAACAGCAGAAGGAAGGAUCAAACUGAAGAAAACAGCAGGGCACCAAACAAAGAGACAAUUCAAAAUACUGUGUGUGGGUUGAGAAAGUGAAUGACUCUUAUGACUGCAUACACAUAUAUCUGCAAGUCAGAGAGAUCACCAAUUCUUGGAUUUCAAAGAAAGGAAAGAAGACCUUAUCGAACUGAAACAUGCUAGAUCAUUAAAAAUAUUUUUUGUGUGUGUGAAA